UGUAGGAGUGAGCCUGCUCGCGAUGGCCUUGGGUCAGCAACCAAUGUAUUGACUGACAGAUUUCUAUCGCGAGCAGGCUCACUCCUACA
rnacentral:antisense_RNA from 1 species